GUGUCUCCUCUCCUUCGGGAGAAUGGGAGGACGCCUGCGGCCUACGCAAAAAUGCCAUGCAAGCAAGAACCAUAUCUGCUUCAGGCACUGUUGAAUUCCCAAGUUCCAGAACAACUCAAGUGGUGGUUGUUUAGAGGUGCCACAAGUGGUCUUUCACCUGGAAAGGGAUCGCUCCACACGAUCCAGACUACUGAACUUUCAGAAACACAACUAAGAUGGCAAAAGUGAAAUUUUUGCUUUUUUCUCACUCCCUCUAGUUUGUACAUUUCUGACUGAAGCAUCAAAACUACUUACUACUUCCUGGGAGUUCCCUGGUGGCCUAGGGGUUAAGAUUCUGGGCUUUCACUGCAGUGACCUGGGGCCCAGGUUCAAUCCCUGGUCAGGGAAUGGUGUUCCC